AGAACCAACAGGGAUUACCUCAGUAACGGCGAGUGAAGCGGUAACAGCUCAAAUUUGAAAUCUGGCUCUUUCAGGGUCCGAGUUGUAAUUUGUAGAAGAUGCUUUGGGUGUGGCUCCAAUCUAAGUUCCUUGGAACAGGACGUCAUAGAGGGUGAGAAUCCCGUAUGUGAUUGGUGGCUUUCGCCCGUGUAAAGCUCUUUCGACGAGUCGAGUUGUUUGGGAAUGCAGCUCAAAAUGGGUGGUAAAUUUCAUCUAAAGCUAAAUAUUGGCCAGAGACCGAUAGCGCACAAGUAGAGUGAUCGAAAGAUGAAAAGCACUUUGGAAAGAGAGUUAAACAGUACGUGAAAUUGUUGAAAGGGAAGCGUUGGCAACCAGACUCGUAUGCCGCUAAUCAUCCGGGGUUCUCCCCGGUGCACUUGGUGGUUUUCGGGCCAGCAUCGGUUUUGGUGGUGGGAUAAAGGCCUUGGGAAUGUAGCUUCUUUCGGGGAGUGUUAUAGCCCUCGGUGCAAUGCCGCCUACCGGGACCGAGGACCGCGCUUCGGCUAGGAUGCUGGCGUAAUGGUUGUCAACGGCCCGUCUUGAAACACGGACCAAGGAGUCUAACAUCUAUGCGAGUAUUUGGGUGUUAAACCCAUAUGCGUAAUGAAAGUGAACGGAGGUAAGAGCCCUUAAGGGUGCAUUAUCGACCGAUCCUGAUGUCUUCGGAUGGAUUUGAGUAAGAGCAUAGCUGUUGGGACCCGAAAGAUGGUGAACUAUGCCUAAAUAGGGUGAAGCCAGAGGAAACUCUGGUGGAGGCUCGCAGCGGUUCUGACGUGCAAUCGAUCGUCAAAUUUGGGUAUAGGGGCGAAAGACUAAUCGAACCAUUGGAACCUCUACUAGUGGUAAGAGGCGCAAGCCUAGUCCUGUCAAGGCAACAUUGUCAAAUUGUUCGGGGACCUCCCACACGUCUCAGCUACCGCAGCCUGACCAAAAGCGA
rnacentral:rRNA from 1 species